UCGGACGUGGUGCAUGACGCACUCCCGUUUGUUGUUCUGAGUCAUAAAUAAAUGCGGGAAACCCGGGUUCGACUCGCGGCGUCCGAC